UGUAUUUGUUGUUGUUUCCUCCUCUCCCUUUCCUUCCUGAACAACUACACUAAUUCUUCUCAUGGCUGUGAUCAAGUAGCUUUAAACGAUUUACUUAUGAGAGGAGAGCUUCUUCAACCUCAGUUUUACAAGAGCAUAAGAAAACAUAAUGUGGAAAUUCAUAGGAUAUACAUCAGGAGUGUGAUAUAAUUUGUUACAUGGUAUUUUCAUCCCCUGUUCCUCCAAUCACCUAAGAUUUUUCUUAUGAUGAUAGACUGGAGAAACUUUGAGCUUUGCAAGGUUUCUUCUUAUACUCGGUCUCGCCAGACUCCUGCCUUCCCAUCUAUUUCAUUUCUCAGUCAGUGCCAGAUAUUAGAAAGAAAUUUUAAAAGACUGAGGAGGAUCCCCAAACUCCCCUACAGGAAUUGGUGAAAAUGGAUUUUAAAGUUUUUAAUGCUUGAGAAUGACAGCUGAGUCAACCCAAGAGACAAAGCUGUAAUGGAAUACUUUCCAAGCCCAAGCCUUUGCAGCUUCUCUGAGGACACCACGGGCCCCACAAGGGGUAGAAGGGAAGUCAGCCAUGAGGCUCCAUCCUGCUGGAGCUCAGCCCAAGUCAACCCACCAAAAACUUGCUUCAAAUGAGACGAGCAGGGCCACAGCCACCCAGGAGGCCAUGCCCUGUCUGCUGAUAGCCUGGGCACUGGAAAUCCGAAUGCCCCUGUGCAGGCUCGUCCUCUAAGCCAUGCCUUGGAGGUCCAGCCUCACCAGCACUGGCAACUGAGAAUUCCUAAGCCUGGCGGAGAACUGACACAGCCUAGACCUGCUGAAUCCACUGCCCUCUCCAAGCCUAGGGUGACGCUGCGGGUAACAGAAACUUGCCUUCAUUGCUGCCUCAAGAAACAGAUGCCUGAGGUCUCCAGGAUGACAAUUGACUGGAGGCUCCUCCCCUCACACCUCCUGCUAACCAUGUGAUCCCUGGGAAGUCAUCAAUACAAGGUGGAGUCAGAAUCUUCUGUUGUGUCUACAUACCUCAUCUUAUUUCAGUGUCCUCUACUCCUCUGUGAGUCAGGACUUGUCCAAUUGGGAUUAUAUUGAGCAGUGUGUGUUAGGAAGCAGAGUGAUGCACAGCAGGGACUCACAAAUAGGCAUUUUUCUGUAUAAAUGGAUGGAUGUGGAAAAGAUAUUGAGUGAGAGAACCCAGAUCCAGAAAGACCAAUGCCAGAGGUCAUCUCCAUCAGCUGUUUCUGGCUCUCAAACUUCUGAAGACAGAGACCCUUCAUGCUGGGGAAGUGGGCACACUGCCAUCUGGACUUCCUGCAGAGCUCCGACUUCUGCUGUCUCAGGCCACACCUAAUUCAACAGACUCCUCAACCACUUCUCAGCCCUGCCUUCACUGAUAUGCAGCAGAAACACAGUCUGACACCAGGUGAUACCCACAAACUGAAAAUUUCUCUCUCUUCCUAAACAAACUGACUGAUCUUGUUCUCUGCACUUGGGACUCACCAGAUGGUCAGGGUUCUAGAAGUCAGUGACAGCACAAGCUGGCUAUCAUCCACUGGGAAGAUCUGGCCAAAGACUUUCAUACCCAUCAGUGUUUGCUAACAGGACAGAAUCAGAUGGUCAGAAUGGAGCUGGAGGCCAACUGUAACAGAGAAGAUGGUUCCUCCCUUGUCACACCUCUGCAGUCUCUCAGUCUCCCAUUGCUCUUCAGUUGAGCAAGUCAAUGAUAACUUUACCUCUGUGUCAGGGAUGCUGGCACAUGCCACCUCAUGGGAUCCUUUUCAGCACAUCAAGACCAGGCUUCAGAGACUUGUCUUCUACCACACACAGAUACUUACUGUACUCAAACUUACCUGCAGGCCCAUGAUUCACACAGAUUAGUACCCUGGAUUCCCUGUUGAGUUCAUUUUCCCUUGUAAAUCAGUGAGAUGCUCCCUACCUGGAAGGUGUCCUGGAAAACAAGUGAGACAUUACAACUCAACCAGUGCUUCACACUGCACCAGGGGCUGUCAUCAAGACAUCCAUGAUGAUCAAGGUUUCCUUGUAAGUCUGACCCCAAUGGUGGGCACUGGUCAUAGAGAAGUCCAGUGUUCUGGCCUUGUAAAGACAAUACCCAGGAUCAGGCCUGGCAAGGCCUACUUACCUUCCCACAUUGGAGCAGAACAAUGUUAAUGUAAGGUCAAAUGUCAGUUAUAAAUCCCUCCAUGAGAUGGAAAAAAUGAUGUAAGAUUCUUGGAUCAGGAGGUGGGGGGCAACAUCGGAAGCCUGAAUGGAGAAGGCUAUGGAGACAAAGACAUAGAUGUCAUCAGAUCUGCCAAAGGACAUGUCAGACAGGAGCAGGAGAGGACUCCACUGCAUGAUGGAGCCAUCCUUCUCUUCUGUCAGACCCUUCUUCAGUAGCCCAGAAUGGAAAUCCCUUUCCAAAGCAGCCUCAUACUUCACUGCAUUGACGUAUGCUAGGAACCAUCAGAACAGGGUCCAUUCCUCCUCAUGGCUGGCACUACACCCAAGGUCACACUCUGCUCUGUUUGAGACAUUUGUUCCUGGUCUCACUUCUUCAAGACCCUUAACCCAGCAAAAUCUCCUUUUCUCCUGACUCGUUUCAGUUCCUGCAUCUUCUAAAAGACUGUCAGAAAGCAGUUUGGAGGUGAUGAAGUAAUCAAAGAUGAAGGAAGCCUGAGACUGUGUGCGAGUCUGUCCUGUUGACAGAGGCAGCCCUUUUAGAUGC